CCUUUUUAUCCGGUUGCUUUCCCUCUCUCCUAUCCUCACAUCUCUUUCAUCUCUCUCUCCCUCCCCCUUAUCCCUUUCAUUCCUCCCGUGGCGGCGGCCGGUACAGGCGCUCGUGCUCGAGCGACUCCCUUUCAUUCCUCCUGUGGCGGUAGCUGGUACGGGCGCGCGGGCUCGAGCGACUGCGAGUGGCGGCCGGUGCGAGCGCGUGGGCUGGAGGGACACCUGGAGAGGAUGCGCGGAGGUGGCGACGGGGCGGCUGCCCCGGAGCGACCCCGCAGCAGGAGUUCUAGGUGGAGAUUUCGGAGUCCGUCUCGUGACUCUGCAGCUUCGACGCUGGUGCACGACGACGAGCAUUGGACAGCCGGUAGAGGGGCGGUUGCCGGCGCCGAUCGAGCAGAGCUUGCUGUGCGCGGCUGCUUUUUUUCCUAAAAAUAUCUUUGGUGGUGGGCGGCAUAAGCACCCACCAUCACAAAAAUCAUAUGUGCCAGCGCAAAUAGCCAUUUUUGCUGGCUCAAGAUUGCUGGCGGGUGCGGUUCCCACCAGUAUAAACCUCUUCUAGCCGCCAGCAUAAAAUUUUUCUGGCGCAGUGUGAUGCAGCUGAAUUUUACUGCAAAUUCCCCGUUUUCAUUUUGCAUGCUA